rnacentral:pre_miRNA from 1 species
GCAUGGGGCAGUGCAAGGGUUUAAAACUCCAUACAUGUGCAUGGAAUCUGCAUGGAGUUUCAAACUCUUGGAUUGCUCUGUGU